AAAAAUAAAAACUUUAUCAUUUCUAACCUAAUUUCUUGUUGUAAACAUUUGUAUUUAUAUUUCAGCAUAUAAUUUAUAUAAUGCUUACUUUAUUAUACUUUAAUUCACAUUCUAUAUACUUUCUCUUUGUCGUAUGAGUAGGUUACGAGACCAAGACCGAUUUUGGAUUUUUACUAUUGGCAAUUCUGCUGACCAAAUUAACCGGCCAAUAGCGUUAGCCGGAGUUGGUGAGCCCUUAGUUAUAUUUCAAUGAACAGCGAUGUUGAUUACGAAUCUAGUUCGCAUUUGUUCCGAGAGAUGUCUCUACAAUCUCUUCUACCGAUUUUCAACAGAUAUUGCAUAAACAAAAAGAAACCUUAUUAUUAGAGGGAAAUCAAGUUAUAUUUUUUAGAGAUAAAAAGAUGAAAUCAUAACAUAUUUGAAAUCAUUCAUUGUUUUUUAUAUGCUGGAAGAAAAAUAACUCACAUUAAUCCAUACUAAUUUUACUUUGUCGCAUAUUAUACAUAAUUUGUCAUAUCAAAAUUCUCCAAAAAAAUGUGUUAGGAAAAGGUUCCAUAUCGUCGUCGACGACUCGUACGAUCGACGGUGCGAGUAGUCACGGUCCCCGUGCAUUGUGAAAGGUAGAGGCUGCAGGUUUUAUUAGCAACGCACUGCCCAACCGGAUGAUUACACAACAAUUACUAAUCCGCCUAUAUAUAAAAUUGUUUACACGCAAUGUUUGACAUGUAUAUUAUACGCUGCAUAAUUUAAGAAAAGGAAUUUGCGAGAUUCUCUAGGGACGCUAUCCUCUAUUUCGAGAACGAGUUUUCUGUGUUCUUUGUAAAAAAAAAAAAAA